CGCACCGACCCGCCUAAUCGUGUUCCACGAACCGGGGACCCAUGAGCACCAUCGGGGUGAAUCCGCGAGCCCACGGCCCGCGGUAGGGCGUACUUCCCGCCCGAAUCCGUCAGCUAACCCGGUCGGCGGCCACGGAAGGAGUA
rnacentral:sRNA from 2 species